UACAGAGGGUGCAAGCGUUGUUCGGAAUUAUUGGGCGUAAAGGGCGCGUAGGCGGUUCGGCAAGUCUCUAGUGAAAUCUCUGGGCUCAACUCAGAGUCUGCUGGGGAAACUGCCGGGCUUGAGUGUGGGAGAGGAGAGUGGAAUUCCCGGUGUAGCGGUGAAAUGCGUAGAGAUCCGGAAGAACACCAGUGGCGAAGGCGGCCCGCUGGGCAGUGGCUGACGCUG
rnacentral:rRNA from 1 species